GGAUCAUUAACGCAUUCGCAGCAGGCUCUUUCGCUGUGAAAAAAGCUCACGUCCAAAAACGUAACGAAACACUGCCCGCGUGCAGCGGCGGCAUGAAGCCGACGCCGCGCGGGUCCGUCCGCUCCAAUAUUUUCGGGGUACCUACCACUCAAAAUGUCCUCGAUGCGACCCACGGUGACGGCUUAGAGCCCGUGUGCUCGCCGGGUCGCUGCGGUUCAAAGAGUGGCCGGCUCGCCGGCGACCGCCCCGACGUCCGAAAAAAAAACAACACUCGUCCAGUCCGAUAAGAGAAUCCCGGGGUACCUGUGCCCUUCUUGCUCGAUCCUGCUCGAUGGAGGCGCGCUCGCCAUCCUUGGGUCGGCACGCUUGGGCGGGAGCUCCAAACGCUCGUAUUUUGGCCGCGACGGUUCAAAGAGCCGACCGUGCUCGUGUCGGUCGCCGCCCCGGGUCUCUCUUUUUUUUAUUCUUUCACAUAUCAAAAUUUUCAUUUGGCCGUUAAAAAAAGUGGCUGUCGCUUGCAUUUGCUUUUGUGCUUGCCCACCACGAAUGAAUGACAAACAAAUAACUUUGAGCGGUGGAUCACUCGGCUCGUGCGUCGAUGA
rnacentral:misc_RNA from 1 species